AAGAGGAGAAUGACAAAUCAAAUUUUUUCUCCCGAUUUUCAACUUUUUUCCUCCUGAAAAAAAUUCAAAUUCAAUUAAAAAUGUUAAAAAUCAAAAGGAAAAAUCUGAUUAGUUAUUUUCCUAUU
rfam:Gossypium raimondii Chr07_contig_18, whole genome shotgun sequence.